rnacentral:rRNA from 1 species
GAUGAACGCUGGCGGCGUGCUUAACACAUGCAAGUCGAACGGAAAGGCUCCUGCUUGCAGGGGUACUCGAGUGGCGAACGGGUGAGUAACACGUGGGUGAUCUGCCCUGCACUUCGGGAUAAGCCUGGGAAACUGGGUCUAAUACCGGAUAGGACGAUGGUUUGGAUUCCAUUGUGGAAAGUUUUUCGGUGUGGGAUGAGCUCGCGGCCUAUCAGCUUGUUGGUGGGGUAAUGGCCUACCAAGGCGUCGACGGGUAGCCGGCCUGAGAGGGUGUACGGCCACAUUGGGACUGAGAUACGGCCCAGACGCGUACGGGAGGCAGCAGUGGGGAAUAUUGCACAAUGGGCGCAAGCCUGAUGCAGCGACGCCGCGUGGGGGAUGACGGCCUUCGGGUUGUAAACUCCUUUCGCUAGGGACGAAGCGCAAGUGACGGUACCUGGAGAAGAAGCACCGGCUAACUACGUG